AGGUGGACUAGCAGAAAGACUAAAUGGACUGCAGAAUCGAGAGAGAUCUGCUAUUUCUUUGUGGAGACAUCAAUGUAUUUCUUACCAAAAGACACUUUCAGGCUUUGGUAUCAGGAUGAUGCUGGCCUGAUAAAAUGAGUGAGGGAGGAUUCCCUCUUUUUCUGUUGAUUGGAAUAGUUUCAGAAGGAAAGAUACCAGCUCCUCCUUGUAUCUCUGGUAGAAUUCGGCUGUGAAUCCAUCUGGUCCUGGACUUUUUUUGUUUGGUAA
rnacentral:lncRNA from 10 species